UGGGAUAUUGUAGGGGAAAGCCUGAACCAGCCAGCCGCGUGCAAGGAUGAAGGCCCUAGUUGGAAACCUGUUUUAUUAAGGGCGGAUAAAGUGACGGGCCGUAAUGAAUAAUCUCCGGGCUAACAUAGCAAUAAGACCGUAGAUCUG
rnacentral:rRNA from 1 species